UACGUAGGUGGCAAGCGUUGUCCGGAUUUAUUGGGUUUAAAGGGUGCGCAGGCGGAUAUGUAAGUCAGUGGUGAAAUCUCUGGGCUUAACCCGGAAAUUGCCAUUGAUACUAUAUAUCUUGAAUACUGUGGAGGUAAGCGGAAUAUGUCAUGUAGCGGUGAAAUGCUUAGAGAUGACAUAGAACACCUAUUGCGAAGGCAGCUUACUACGCAGAGAUUGACGCUCAUGCACGAAAGCGUGGGGAUCAAACAGGA
rnacentral:rRNA from 1 species